GGAAGAUUGUGAACAAGAUGAAUCGGCAUACUUGAUGAAAAGGUCAAUGUUCAUACAAAAUAUUGAAGACAAGCCAUUAAAAGAUUUUGUAGAACAAAAGAAUCAUCUUGAAUUUGAAUUUGAUACUUUUGCAAUGCCUUUUGCUAUGGUGAAUGAUGAAAAGUUUAGAGAGAGUGUCAUGGGGGAAGAAAAACAUCAAGCUAAG
rnacentral:misc_RNA from 1 species